rnacentral:sRNA from 1 species
CGGAGAGCGGGAAGGCUAAAACGCGGUAGCUAAACUGCAGCCAACGUUGGUUGUGUGUGGAAAAGGCUUUAGCCAUGGACAGGAGUGGCUUUGGAGAUAUAUCAUCCCCUGUAAUCCGGGAGGCAGAGGUGACACGGACUGCACGGAAACAGAGUGCUCAAAAAAGAGUUUUACUUCAGGCAUCUCAAGAUGAAAAUUUUGGUAAUACUACACCAAGAAACCAGGUUAUCCCUCGAACUCCUAGCUCAUUUCGACAGCCUUUUACCCCAACAAGCCGAAGCUUACUCAGGCAGCCAGAUAUUUCCUGCAUUCUUGGAACAGGAGGGAAGUCGCCCCGACUUACGCAGUCUUCAGGGUUCUUUGGAAAUCUCUCCAUGGUUACUAAUCUGGAUGACAGUAACUGGGCAGCUGCAUUUUCAUCACAGCGUUCCGGGCUCUUCACAAACACAGAGCCCCACAGUAUAACAGAAGAUGUAACUAUCAGUGCUGUUAUGUUACGUGAGGAUGAUCCUGGAGAAGCUGUCUUUUCUGAAGCACUCUUCAAGUACAGUUUUUGAUCUUGUGGAAGAGUAUGAAAACAUCUGUGGUAGUCAGGUGAAUAUACUGAGUAAAAUAGUGAGUCGAGCAACACCUGGACUUCAAAAAUUUUCAAAAACAGCCAGUAUGCUCUGGCUUCUUCAACA